rnacentral:tRNA from 1 species
ACCUGACUGGAAUAGCUCAGUUGGUAGAGCAUGAGAUUCUUAAUCUUAGUGUUGUGAGUUCGAGCCCCACAUUGGGCA